rnacentral:lncRNA from 1 species
AAUAUAAAAAAGAAGAUGUGGUAUGAUUGCCAAUGAGACAACUAUCCACAAAAGACCAAAAUGACACAGACAUUAACAACUAUAGGUCACCGUACGGCCUUCAACAAUGAGCAAAGCCCAUACCGCAUAGUGAGCUAUAAAAGGCCUCGAUAAGACCAUGUAAAACAAUUCAAACGAGAAAACUAACGGCCUUAUUUAUGUAAAACAAUUAACGAAAAACAAAUAUGUAACACAUAAACAAACGACAACCACUGAAUUACAGGCUCCUGACUUGGGACAGGCACAUUCAUAAAUAAUGUGGCGGGGUUAAACAUGUUAGCGGGAUCCCAACCCUCCCCCUCACCUGGGACAGUGGUAUAACAGUACAACAUAAGAACGAACUAUAAAAAUCAGUUGAAAAAGGCUUAACUCAUCAGAUGGACAAAAAUACAAGUGGACGUAGCCCGGUACUUAUACAGCCCGACACAAAAAAAAAACAAUGAACAGAUCUGAGAGUACUCGCAGUUAUCUGACAGCUAGUUCAAA